AAGACCUUGCGCUUUUGGAGCGGCCGAUGUCUGAUUAGCUUGUUGGUGAGGUAAAGGCUUACCAAGGCUUCGAUCAGUAGCUGGUCUGAGAGGACGGCCAGCCACACUGGGACUGAGACACGGCCCAGACUCCUACGGGAGGCAGCAGUGGGGAAUUUUGGACAAUGGGGGCGACCCUGAUCCAGCCAUGCCGCGUGAGUGAAGAAGGCCUUCGGGUUGUAAAGCUCUUUCAGCCGGAACGAAACGGUUACGGUUAAUACCCGUGACUACUGACGGUACCGGAAGAAGAAGCACCGGCUAACUACGUGCCAGCAGCCGCGGUAAUACGUAGGGUGCAAGCGUUAAUCGGAAUUACUGGGCGUAAAGCGUGCGCAGGUGGUUUUGUAAGUCAGAUGUGAAAUCCCCGGGCUUAACCUGGGAACU
rnacentral:rRNA from 1 species